rnacentral:misc_RNA from 1 species
ACCUGUUAAUUUAUGUUGAAUAAAAUGUGACAGACAUCUUUCAACUCUUCAACAAUCAUUCAUUUAAGACCACUGAAUAAGGGUCCAUUACACCCAAAAGAUCUCCCAUCCAUAACCACAAUGACAGAAGAAAACAUCUAAAUUUAGUACUUCAAAACAGGUGAACUCUCCCUAUCAAACUUAACAAUACUCAUCUAGACAAUCAUUACUAACAAUUACAAACAAUUCGAAAUAACGGCAGAAGCCUAACUUCCACCUAAUUGUUAAUGCUCAACAGGACCUGUAGGAGAGCAAAGUUCAAAUCUUGAUCUUGUUGGGAACCUAUUCAAUUGUCCACUAUUUUGACACCCUUUUUCCUGUUGAUAUAAUCAGCAGCUCUAGCUUCCAUCUUCACAGGCAUUGGUGCUGAGAACACGGAACUCUCAUUUUCGUGCUCAUUAUCAUUCUCAUCUCUCACAUUCCUUUCAUAAUACCCAUCCUUUCUUGAAAUGUAAUUUGGAUCCAUUUCAUUAUCACUACUUCCACUAUACCCUCCAUCUUCUUCCCCAUCACCUUCACACCCCUUGGAUGCCAUGCCAAGCUUUUCAACUCUUUUGCUAAGGUUUUUUAUCAGCUCUUUCUCAGUAUCAAAAGUUUCUUGCUCAUUAACAUUCCCCAUUGAAGCAGGCUCCAUGGUACCAUGGAAAGAUUGGUAAGCAUCUCCAUUAUCUGCAAAGGUCACUGAUUUCCUUUGAUUGGGUUUAACAACACCAUGACUCCUGGCAAAACCACCACCCCUAGUUCGUAAAACGCCAGAUUUUCUAUUAUCAGAGAACCUAGGGCUUUGCUGAUCUUCCUCCUCCUCCUCUUCAUCUUCAGAUUCCUUCACUGAUGCAACGAAUUUGUCAACGGCUCCGUUAAAGUUUGUGUCAAAUUCUACUUUACGGUCACCGGAAAAGACCCUAGCUUUGUUUCCACCUCUCACAUUCUUAACUACUCUACUUGAGAAUAUGGAAACCCCAUUAAUCACCUUCAUAAAUCGAGUCAGUUCGUUGCUUAUUGACCUUCUACCAUCUCUGAUUAACGGAUCAUCGCCCUCAAUACAAUCAAGUCUAACGAGUAAAUCCGUCGCUCUGCGAGUAACAGCUCGAAUAUCAAUGUGUAUUUUACCAGAAACUGACGAUUUGAGAACAUAGAGAGUUGUUUUGAUGGAAGCCAACUGCUUCAGCUGUCGAAGUGUUCUCGAUCUACGAGCAAGGAAGGCUCUGAAAUGGGUCUGAAUAGUACGCGCUGCAGCAUCGCGUAACGUUUGACGAGAACGAGAAGAAACAGAAGAAGUAGAGGAGCUCCGGCUGAGAGAAGAUUCUAAGGCAGCGAUCCGACGGAGAAGAGAUGUAACAAUUCGUUGGGUUUGUUGGUCUGUUACUUUGUUGGCUUGAUGAUUCAAUUCUUGAAAAUGAUGAUGAUUUUGGUGAACGGUUUCACAUUGGCAUUGGAUAUGAGAAGGCGGCGGCGAUGGUG